CUCUUGCCUCACAUAAGAGGUCCAGCCUGCCCAGUGAAAUUUUAACGGCCGCGGUACCCUGACCGUGCGAAGGUAGCAUAAUCACUCGUUCUCUAAAUGGGGACUUGUAUCAAUGGCAUCACGAGGGUCACACUGUCUCCUCUCUCCAAUCAGUGAACCUAAUCUCCCCGUGAAGAAGCGGGGUUACACCCAUAAGACGAGAAGACCCCAUGGAGCUUUAAACCUUAAAGCAAUUUAAAUAAAAUAUUUCCACAUAUACUUUAUAUAUGCAUGAAAGUUUUGGGUUGGGGUGACCGCGGAGCAAAAACUAACCUCCACAACGAAAAGAACUAAACCUUUAUCUAAGAACUACUAUUCUAAGAAUCAACAUACUGACGAAUACUGAUCCGAUAAUCGAUCAAUGAACCAAGUUACCCUGGGGAUAACAGCGCAAUCUACUUCGAGAGCUCAUAUCGACAAGUAGGCUUACGACCUCGAUGUUGGAUCAGGGUGUCCCAGUGGUGCAGCCGCUACUAAUGGUUCGUUUGUUCAACGAUUAAACCCC
rnacentral:rRNA from 1 species